UAGGGAAUCUUCGGCAAUGGACGAAAGUCUGACCGAGCAACGCCGCGUGAGUGAAGAAGGUUUUCGGAUCGUAAAACUCUGUUGGUAGAGAAGAACGUUGGUGAGAGUGGAAAGCUCAUCAAGUGACGGUAACUACCCAGAAAGGGACGGCUAACUACGUGCCAGCAGCCGCGGUAAUACGUAGGUCCCGAGCGUUGUCCGGAUUUAUUGGGCGUAAAGCGAGCGCAGGUGGUUUAUUAAGUCUGGUGUAAAAGGCAGUGGCUCAAC
rnacentral:rRNA from 1 species